AAUAGGAGCUUGUUCCCCGGUGACACUGUUGUUUCACCAGAUUCUAAAUUCUGUCCAAAUGUUCUAACCAAACCAGUGAACAUGGCACAUUUACGCUUGACCAUCUGGCAGCAGGAGUCCCAAGUAACAAGUUUACACUCCAAAACUAAAUAGCUUGAACAAUCAUUAUAGAAAAACCUCAUUUUUAAUCUUAUCUGUAGACAAAAAACUGAACAGGACAAGCUGCAAUAAUUCCCACUUAUAAUACAUUCAGUGACUCUGUUCUGUGGAUAAGAAAUGUUUCAGCAGUCUGUGACCUUGCUGUUAAUUGGCCAUGAUGCUUUAUUAUUAUUAUUAUUAUUAUUAUUAUUAUUAUUAUUAUUAUUGUUGUUGUUGUUGUUGUUGUUGUUGUUGUUGUUUCCCCCAAACCCCUUCUGUAUAUCCAAUUGCUCCAUUUGUAUAAAGCAAGGUUGAUUGUGAACUGACCUUAUGAAAUAAUACAUCCAUCGAUCCAUUUUCUAUAGCGCUUAUCCUACAGGGUCGCGGGGAACCUGGAGCCUAUCCCAUGGAGCAUUGGGAACAAGGCAGGGUACACCCUGGACGGGGUGCCAAUCACAUACACAUACCCAUUCAUACACUACAGAAACUUUGGACAUGCCACUCAACCUACCAUGCAUGUCUUCGGACUGGGGGAGGAAGGAGAACAUGCAAACUGCACACACACAGGGCCGCAGCGGGAAUCAAACCCUCAACUCUGGUGGUGCUAGCUAAAGCCAGCCUAGGCUGGUUGGCUGGUCUUUGCUGGUUUAAGCUGGAUGUAGCUGGUUUAAGCUGGUCUCCCAGCCUGGCCAAGUUGGUCAAGCUGGUCUCCCAGCCUGGCAAAGCUGGUGUUCAGAUGUUUUAGAUGGUGGAUGGGUCAGCUGGUCUCCCAGCCUGUAGUCAGGCAGGCUUGGGUCGCGGGGGAACCUGGAACCUAUCCCAGGAGGCAUCGGGCACAAGGCGGGGUACACCCUGGCCAGGGUGCCAGUCACAUACACACUCACACACCCAUUCAUACACUACGGACACUUUAGACACACCAAUCAGCCUACCAUGCAUGUCUUUGGACUGGGGGAGGAAACCGGAGCAUCCGGAGGAAACCCCCGCAGCACGGGUAGAACAUGCAAACUCCGCACACACAGAGCCCAGGCGGGAAUCGAAGCCCGGACCCUGGAGGAAAAAUAGAAGACAUCAUGCACAGCAAAUUCAUCAGUGUUGAUUUCUGAUAAUACAGCAGAGAACCGAGAGGAGCCACGAGGCCAGCUAGCUAGAUAGCUAAUUAUCUGGCAAAUUGAGACAGUACAGAGAAAAUAUCAGCCAACACAGGAAGAAACAGCUGGGAAGAAACGCUUUGAACGUUUAUUUCUAGGCCAGGUAUAUUAACUGUUCAUGUUCACUUCUCAUUUUAUGAACAUGUUUGAAGCAGGGCUGGACAGUGUGAACAU